rnacentral:rRNA from 1 species
CUAACAAGGAUUCCCUUAGUAACUGCGAGUGAAGUGGGAAAAGCUCAAAUUUAAAAUCUGGCGGUCAUUUGACUGUCCGAGUUGUAAUCUAGAGAAGUGUUGCCCGUGCUGGACCAUGUACAAGUCUCCUGGAAUGGAGCAUCACAGAGGGUGAGAAUCCUGUCUUUGACAUGGACUGCCAGUGCUUUUGUGGUAUGCUCUCAAAGAGUCGAGUUGUUUGGGAAUGCAGCUCAAAACGGGUGGUAAAUGCCAUCUAAAGCUAAAUAUUGGCGAGAGACCGAUAGCGAACAAGUACCGUGAGGGAAAGAUGAAAAGAACUUUGGAAAGAGAGUUAAACAGUACGUGAAAUUGCUGAAAGGGAAACGCUUGAAGUCAGUCACGUUGACUCGAAAUCAGCUCUGCUUUUGCUGGGUGUACUUUCUUGUCAAUGGGUCAGCAUCAAUUUUGGUCAUUGGAUAAAGUCAUUGGGAAAGUAGCAUCUUUUUAGAUGUGUUAUAGCCCAGUGAUGCAUACAGUGGUUGGGAUUGAGGAGCUCAGCACGCCACCAGGCCGGGUUUCGACCACGUUCGUGCUUAGGAUGCUGGCAUAAUGGCUUUAAUUGACCCGUCUUGAAACACGGACCAAGGAGUCUAACAUAUCUGCGAGUGUUUGGGUGGAAAACCCAUGUGCGUAAUGAAAGUGAAAGUUGAGAUCCCUUUCUCCGAGGGGGAGCAUCGACGCCCGGACCAGACCUUUUGUGACGGAUCCGCGGUAGAGCAUGUAUGUUGGGACCCGAAAGAUGGUGAACUAUGCCUGAAUAGGGUGAAGCCAGAGGAAACUCUGGUGGAGGCUCGUAGCGAUUCUGACGUGCAAAUCGAUCGUCAAAUUUGGGUAUAGGGGCGAAAGACUAAU